AUUGAACGCUGGCGGCACGCCUAACACAUGCAAGUCGAGCGGUAACAUGGUUAGUAGCAAUACUAACUGAUGACGAGCGGCGGACGGGUGAGUAAUACGUAGGAACUUGCCUGGGAGAGGGGGAUAACCAAGGGAAACUUUGGCUAAUACCGCGUAAACUCGGAAGAGGAAAGCUGCCGCAAGGUGGCGCUCCCAGAGAGGCCUGCGUCCGAUUAGCUAGUUGGUGAGGUAAGAGCUCACCAAGGCUGUGAUCGGUAACUGGUCUGAGAGGACGACCAGUCACACUGGGACUGAGACACGGCCCAGACACCUACGGGUGGCCAG
rnacentral:rRNA from 1 species